UACAGAGGUCUCAAGCGUUGUUCGGAUUCAUUGGGCGUAAAGGGUGCGUAGGUGGCGUGGUAAGUCGGGUGUGAAAUUUCGGAGCUUAACUCCGAAACUGCAUUUGAUACUGGCGUGCUUGAGGACUGGAGAGGAGACUGGAAUUCAUGGUGUAGCAGUGAAAUGCGUAGAGAUCAUGAGGAAGACCAGUGGCGAAGGCGGGUCUCUGGACAGUUCCUGACGCUGAGGCACGAAGGUCAGGGGAGCAAACGGG
rnacentral:rRNA from 1 species